UUUGCAAAUAUAAUUUUUGGAGCUGAACUAACACACCCUCCUUCACUCAGUAGCUAGGGAACACAUUACACCAGAAAACUUAACUUGAACGUGAGGAAGGGUGUAGAAAUGCUGCGACUGUAACAGACGAGGAGGAGAGAAAGGACUAGAGAGGAGGAGGAGGAGAGAGAGGAGACGAGAGAGAGAGAGAGAGAGAGAGGAAUAGACAGUCAGAGGACCAGUAUGGACUAUGACAGAAGGGGGGGUCGGGGAGACCGCAUGGGUCGCUAUGGCAACAACAGCUCCUCCGACCACGACUACCGAGACAUGGAUUACCGGGGCUACGGACCGGAAGAGGCGGAGCUGGGGACAGGAUAUGACGUCAGAGCUGGUGCCGGCCGCAGCGACAAAGCCGACCAACCGGCGGGCGUCCGGGAGUUCACGGCACCGGCCCGUUUCCACGACCAACGGCCAGGGUUCCGUCAGAGGGGUGGUCGGGGCGGUAAAGGAUUCCCAUCGCCCUGCGCCCCUCGAUCCCUGGUCUUACCCCUGCCAGAGGUAGCCCUGCCCAGGCUGCAGAGAGAGGAGAGAAUGGGAGAGGCAUCCAGGAGAGACUCUCAGAGCUUCAGGCCCAACUCAGAGGGUAGAGGAAGGG
ensembl:lncRNA